AUGAAGAACGUAGCGAAAUGCGAUAAGUAAUGUGAAUUGCAGAAUUCCGUGAAUCAUCGAAUCUUUGAACGCACAUUGCGCCCUCUGGUAUUCCGGGGGGCAUGCCUGUCCGAGCGUCAUUUGCAACCCUCAAGCCCGGCUUGUGUGAUGGGUGCCGUCCCCUACGGGACGCGCCCCGAAGGCAAUGGCGGCGUCGCGGUUAUCCGAUCAGCCAAAGUGUAUGGGGCUUUGUCACUCACUUUACGGCCCGGACCGGCGCCAGUCCGAAUCAAUCUUUUUUCUAAAGUUGACCUCGGAUCAGGUAGGGAUACCCGCUGAACUUAAGCAUAUCAAUAAGCGGAGGA
rnacentral:misc_RNA from 1 species